rnacentral:rRNA from 1 species
CCUUACAAAUUGAAAUUUUUUUAAUUUGUGCAGAAACAAUUAUUAAUAUUAAGGACAAGAAGACCCUAUGAAUUUAUUAAAUUUCAUUCAAUAUGUAAUUACUAUUGAAGAAAUUUUGGCUGGGGCGGCUAAAAAAUAUUUUAAACUUUUUAAAAAUAAAAUGAUCCAUUAUUAAUGAUUAUAUGUUAAAUACUCUAGGGAUAACAGCGUUAUAUUUUUUGAUAGACCAUAUUGACAAAAAAGUUUGCGACCUCGAUGUUGGAUUAGGAUACUUUUUUAAUGCAGAUAUUAAAAAAAGAAGUUUGUUCAACUUUCAAUUUCCUACUUGAUCUGAGUUCAGACC